AUUGAACGCUGGCGGCAGGCCUAACACAUGCAAGUCGAGCGUGAAAGUCCUUCGGGAUGAGUAAAGCGGCGGACGGGUGAGUAACGCGUAGGAAUCUACCUGAUAGUGGGGGAUAACGUCUCGAAAGGGACGCUAAUACCGCAUACGUUCUGAGGAAGAAAGCAGGGGAUCGCAAGACCUUGUGCUAUCAGAUGAGCCUGCGUCCGAUUAGCUAGUUGGUGGGGUAAAGGCCUACCAAGGCGACGAUCGGUAACUGGUCUGAGAGGAUGAUCAGUCACACUGAAACUGCGAAACGGUCCAGACUCCUACGGGAGGCAGCAGUGGGGAAUAUUGGACAAUGGGGGCAACCCUGAUCCAGCCAUGCCGCGUGUGUGAAGAAGGCCUUCGGGUUGUAAAGCACUUUAAGCGGGGAGGAAGGCUCCAUGGUUAAUACCCAUGGGGAUUGACGUUACCCGCAGAAUAAGCACCGGCAAACUUCGUGCCAGCAGCCGCCGUAA
rnacentral:rRNA from 1 species